rnacentral:tRNA from 1 species
GUGGGAUUGGCGCAGUUGGUAGCGCAUCGGUUUGUGGCACCGAGGGUCAAGAGUUCGAGCCUCUUAUCCCACC